UUCGUGUUGAUCCAGCUGGAUCAUUAGGUUGUAGUAUUUCAAUUUUAGUUUUUCUGUGUUUUCUUCUUGAAAAAAUUUUGUAUUAAUUUUUUUGCUGAUAAUUUGAGUCCGAAUGUAGUCUUUUACAGCUAGACAGAGCCUCAUCUGCUCAAGGAUAAAUUCUACACGUUCUUUCUUUUCCAUUGAACCGUAAGUUUCCACCUGCAAUUCUUGCAGAAUAGAGGCAGCCUCUUUCACUUCACCAUUCUGUUCUUUUAUUGUUGCAAGUGUCUUUGUCAGGCGAGCACGUUCGAUUUCCACAUAUAUUUUUCCUUCUGUAACUGUACGCAACGUGUCAAUUAAGCGCAGUUUCACUGGUAAGUCUGUGAUGUCUUCAACGUAAGUGCAGCACUGCUGGACCAUUUUAGCAACUGCCUGUUUUAACUGACUUCUUCUCUUUGACAGAAGAAUAAUAUUUUCAUUCAGAGCAUCCCAGUCUUUAGCUUCAUAACACAUCUUCACUAUAGCCACUAAGAUACGCGAUGUGGAAACCAUGUCAGAAGCCGUUCGCGUUUGUUUUUCCAAGGAGAGAAGGUUUUCAAUUACUUCUUGCAAUCUCCCCUCCUGCGCCAGUCGCUCGCACUCGGGCAGCCGCUGGUCCACCGUCGCGCUAUAAUCCACCUCCAUUUUCACGAUGCGGCCAUCGGCCCGCUCCGCGCCGCCCUCCGCCAUGGCCCCGGCUCCGCUCCGCGUCCCCCCGCGAACACACACCGGAAGCAGCGCGGCGCGCAGGCGCGGUUAAGACAGCCCGGCGGAAGGCCCCGCACUGCACCAAGCAGGCGCUGCCGCGGGCACCUCUGAGCGGCGCGGGGCGGGGCGGGGCGGGGCGGGACGGGGCGGGGCGUGGGGGGAGCGCUUCAGCGGAGCGGUCAGUGCAAGGCGAAGCGGGCGCCUCAGCGGGCGGUUAGCAGAGUGGCGUUUCCCGCCGUUUCCCGCCGUUCGGAGUGGCGGUUCGCAGCUCACAGCGCUGCCCGCGAAUUACCUCAGCGCUCCGCGCGCCCCUCGGGCUGCUGGCUGAAGCCGGGGCACGGCGCUGGCACGGCUCCCACGCCGCGGUGUUGCUCACAUCUCACACGUCCGUAGCGUGAGGCCGCGCUGUGGCCGUAUGGGGGGGAAUGAGUCAGUACCACCGCAGUUUUACGCAAUUUCCCCACAUUCUGAGGCAAACGCAGCGUAGCAAUACCGUGCUGCGGCCUCGGUGGAAAACGCUGUGCAGUGGUGCGGUGUUGCAAAGCACCUCCUGCCAGCCCCGAGCCCCGCAGCGAGGGCAGGAGGCGAUAACGCUCUGUAGGACCAAAGCCCCCGGUGGAGCACCGCUGUGUGGUGCGGGUGAGGCCGCAGCCCCCACAGCACCGCUCCCACUGCAGAAACCCGCAGAGGCGCGGGUUUCCUCGUGUCCGCUGUGGAGCGGCUGGGAAGGAGCUGCCCACCAGGGGAUGCCCCACGGCCAUAGAGGUCAUCUGUAACACGCAGGAGAAAAAAAAAAAGAAUCUGCCGUGAAAUUAUACCCUGUGUUGAGGGCUUCUUGGUGGCAAUUAAAAGGUGUUACUAAAAUACCUGAAGAAACAGCUUGUCUUUUGCUGCCGCUAACCAGGAGUUAGAGGCAGACUCUUGGUGACACAAGUCAGCGUUCAGCAUGCUUCAACGGCUUUUCAUGUUGGUUUGUUUCCUGUGGGUCAGAAAUGAAAUAAGGUGUGCCCUAAAAAGCAUCUAAUGAGCCCACUUCUUCCAUAGAAAAAGUCCCAGCUUCUAAAGGUUACUGUUGGAGUCACAGCUUCUUCCUCCACAUGUACAUGCAGGCAGCACAUGGAGGAGCUGCGGCUGAGGCAGAACGUGUGGGGCAAUGCAGCAAGCAUGAGAAGUACGUUUGGUUUCCAUUUGACUUAGCAAUGAAGUGGCUUCAAGGCACCGUGCAAAGAUCAAUUUUUACAGCAUUUUUUCAGCAGGAAACCAGAUGAUUCUUUUCCCCCACUUAAUCUAACUAAUAAAUCACUUAAAACUGUGGUAAAUGUUUUAGAUCUGGAUUUGGAUCUCUCUCCUCUAUAGGUGAUAUUGCAGGUACUGCCUUCUUUGGGCUAUUUUGCAUAAAAGUUUCCUUAGUGUGUGCUACCAAUGUUAUGGAUUACGACUACAGGUUGGAUGGUUACAAACAGCUGUUGUCAAAUUUGAAGCAGAAGACAUAAAGCACGUCGUCCAAACCUCAUUUCAAAGUCCAGGCUGUUAGCAGAGCUCCUAGAUUUUCUG
rnacentral:lncRNA from 1 species